GACUGUUUAAUUGAAACAAAGCAUUGUGAUGGUCCCUGCAAAUGCUGAUGUUGCACGAAAUUGCAAGUAGUCAACGCUCCCCAGUGCAUUGUGAAAAGGGACUAAUCACCUCUCGCAGAUCCUUGAAAUCUGGCGGUGGUGAGUUUACCAAUCACCUACAGGUUUUGGUCUAACGACAACCGUACUACCAACAAAUGGUAUUAGAGCUAGAGUUCAUGAGUUCGAUACACACUUGGCUCACGCUGAGGGGGAGAUUGUUGCACGAAAUUGCAAGUAGUCAAUGCUCCCCGGUGUAUCGUGAAAAAGGACUAAUCACCUCUCAUAGAUCCUUGAAAUCUGGCGGUGGUGAGUUUACCAAUCACCUGUGAAUUUUGGUCUAACGACAACCGUACUACCAAUAGCUAACGCAAUGUGAUUUAUGCCCAUUUCUCUACAUGUCAAAGUGAAGAAAUUCAACCAAGCGCAGGUAAAGGAUGGGAGUAACUUUGACUCUCUUAAGGUAUCUAGAUGCCUCAUCAUCUAAUUAGUGACGUGCAUGAAUGGAUUAAUCAGAUUCCUACUGUCCCUGGCUACUAUCUAGAGAAAACACAUCCAAGGGAACGAGCUUGGAAGAAUUAGAAAGGAAAUUAUACCCUAUUGAGCUUGAGUCUAGUCCAACUUUGUACUGAAAUGACUUGAGAGGUGUAGAAUAAGUGGGAGUCGUUUUGAUCUAUAACCCUAUGAAUUAAUCCUAGACAAUAAAACCCAUAUCCUAUAAAUUGUAAAUGAUAUAAUCUAUAAUAAAAUAUAACCCUUUUAUCACCUAACAUGCAUAACCUCUAUCAAAUCAAAUAAUUAAACCCUACAACACAU
rnacentral:ncRNA from 1 species